rnacentral:rRNA from 1 species
GACGAACGCUGGCGGCGUGCUUAACACAUGCAAGUCGAGCGAUGAAGUUUCCUUCGGGAAACGGAUUAGCGGCGGACGGGUGAGUAACACGUGGGUAACCUGCCUCAUAGAGAGGGAUAGCCUUCCGAAAGGAAGAUUAAUACCUCAUAACAUCAUUCUUUCGCAUGUUAGAAUGAUCAAAGGAGCAAUCCGCUAUGAGAUGGACCCGCGGCGCAUUAGCUAGUUGGUGGGUAACGGCCUACCAAGGCGACGAUGCGUAGCCGACUGAGAGGGUGAUCGGCCACAUUGGGACUGAGACACGGCCCAGACUCCUACGGGAGCAGCAGUGAGGAAUAAUGGUCAAUGGACGCAAGUCUGAACCAGCCAAGUAG